AUCUAGCUGACGAGUUACAAAUAUGAUGAAAUGCUCGUCAAACUGGAU
rfam:Schistosoma margrebowiei strain Zambia genome assembly, scaffold: SMRZ_scaffold0000230